rnacentral:rRNA from 1 species
GACGAACGCUGGCGGCGUGCUUAACACAUGCAAGUCGAACGAUGAAACUAGAGCUUGCUCUAGUGGAUUAGUGGCGAACGGGUGAGUAACGCGUGAGGAACCUGCCUUGAAGAGGGGGACAACAGUUGGAAACGACUGCUAAUACCGCAUGACGCAUAGAGGUCGCAUGAUCUUUAUGCCAAAGAUUUAUCGCUUCAAGAUGGCCUCGCGUCUGAUUAGCUGGUUGGCGGGGUAACGGCCCACCAAGGCGACGAUCAGUAGCCGGACUGAGAGGUUGAACGGCCACAUUGGGACUGAGAUACGGCCCAGACUCCUACGGGAGGCAGCAGUGGGGAAUAUUGGGCAAUGGGUGCAAGCCUGACCCAGCAACGCCGCGUGAAGGAAGAAGGCUUUCGGGUUGUAAACUUCUUUUAAGAGGGAAGAGCAGAAGACGGUACCUCUAGAAUAAGCCACGGCUAACUACGUGCCAGCCGCCGCCGUAA